rnacentral:rRNA from 1 species
UACGUAGGGCGCAAGCGUUUGUCCGGAAUUAUUGGGCGUAAAGAGCUCGUAGGCGGUCUGUCGCGUCUGCUGUGAAAACCUAGGGCUUAACUCUGGGCGUGCAGUGGGUACGGGCAGGCUAGAGUGCGGUAGGGGGAGACUGGAAUUCCUGGUGUAGCGGUGAAAUGCGCAGAUAUCAGGAGGAACACCGGUGGCGAAGGCGGGUCUCUGGGCCGUAACUGACGCUGAGGAGCGAAAGCGUGGGGAGCGAACAGG